UCUGCUCUUUUCUUUGGGGAGCCAGUCUCCGCCCCAUCUUUUCCCACCUUGGCUCCUGCCCAGGCUUGGGGCUGACCUCCUGAACUUUGGCCCAAGGUCAAGGCUUUCACAAGGCCGGAAGCAGUGAAGGUGGGGGCUCAAUUAUGACCAAAAAAUGACAUGGGCUGGAGUUGACCCAGGGUUCAGAGAGAAGAGGAAUGAGGAAAGGCCUGUUUUCAGAGGCUCUGGGAGGACAUAUGCCUGGAGGGAAUGGCCUUCUUCUCAAAGGAAGCAAAGUGCUUAUAUUGAGAGAGGUCCUGAGAGAUCCUAUUUGCUCAUCCUGCUUUUUUUUGCAGAUGGGGAAACUGAGGCCUAGCAAUGGGAAGGGACUUGGCCAAAGUCACACAGGCCAACCAUCCAGGGAACACCCAGCUAAGCCCUUCCUCUCUCUGAGUAACUUCUGACCAGCUGCUCAUCUGUCCUCCCGCUGUCCUUACUUUGGCUGCCCCGGUGGGGAGCUCACCCACAGUGCUGACAUCUCCUGGUUACUUGUGUCUCUCCAACUGGACUGUGAGUCCCUGAGGUCAGGGAUGGGCCCUGUGUCCUGUUCCACAGAUAUGCCCUCAAUAACGACUACGGUGGAGGGAUGAAAGAUCCUUGCAUGGAAAACAGCCGCCACAAGGAACCUGAGGUCAGAGCAUUUUGGAAUCCCCAUGGUGGACAAAGCCAAAGGAAGUGGACACUCUGGUCUCCCCAGGGAAACAUUUUUCCAGCAAGCAAUAUCAUUCCCUGGACAGGCCAUGGAGGACAAGUUCAAGGGUCUUUCCCCCGAGUGUUUCACUGUGAGGAUCUUCAUAAAACAUGAAGUACAAACUUCACGUUCUCACCACAGAGGUGGCUGAAGCAAACAGUAUUUUGGGUCUCUUCUGCCUUUUUUUUCUUGACUGGGGAAAAAUACCUUUUGUCUCCGUGGUAGCAAAGUUCCUCGUCUCCCUUGACCCCACUGUAAACCCAAAAGCAAGGGAAACAACUCUGCAAUGUUUCUGAGAGAAAAAACAAUCUGAAAAGUCAUGUUUUUUGUUUUUUUUUUUCCUCCUGGAACAUUGUGAGAAGUUGUUUUCUUGUUUUUUAAAGUCCAAACCCACUAAUUUUUCUUUAAAAAAAAAAAAAAUGUAAGAGGGCUUUCAUCCCUGACCCUCUGAAUGUCUGGAGGCAGGGAGCCUGG